UGCUCUCUCUCAUGCUUGUGUGACUACAAAAACCCUGGCGGAAUACUUUAUAACCAGGGGGACUUUUUCAGCCGUGGUGAGCUGCACCAUCACGCGUGAUUUGCCUGAAGCGGCUUCUAGUCUCCCACCUCAUAGGAACUCGCCUGGAGGUCCUUCGAGUCCACGGCAUGACGGAGAGUUU
rnacentral:other from 1 species